GGAGGUUCAUUCUGUACAUCGAACCUAACUUGCGGAAUAUUGCCACGUGUAGGCCGACAUUUGUUGUAAAGAAGCCAACAGGUAUACUAUCUAAUCUUAAAUCAUGGCCAAGGUUUUCAAGAAAACCAGUGGAAAUGGCCAGCUGACCCUGUUGUUGGGAAAGAGAGACUAUGUUGACCACGUGGAUACUGUUGAUGCUGUUGAGGGUGUCUUGAAAGUUGAUCCUGCUGGACUUGAUGGCAAGAAAGCUUGGAUCCAGAUGGCCUGUGCUUUCCGCUAUGGUCGUGAUGACCUUGACGUGAUUGGCCUGUCCUUCAGAAAAGACAUCUGGUUUCAGUACAUACAGGUGUACCCCGUAGCAGACCACAAACCCACCAAGACUGCAAUGCAUGACACUCUGAUGACCAAAGCCGGCGACCAAGGCAUCCCCUUCACUUUCAACAUCCCAACAAACCUGCCCUGCUCUGUCACACUGCAGCCUGGAGAGGAGGACAAGGGAAAGGCUUGCGGUGUGGACUUUGAAGUCAAAGGAUAUGUCGCCAAAGAAGGAGAUGACGCCGAUGAGGUUAUAGAGAAGAAGGAUACCUGCCGUCUGAUCAUCCGCAAGAUUCAGUUUGCCCCUGAUAAGGCUGGCUCUGGGGUCUCAGAAGAAACCAGCAAGAAUUCAAUUAGUGUCACAGCCUCCAUAGAUAAGGAGAUCUAUUACCAUGGCGAGGCAAUCCCCAUUAAAAUCAAAGCAAAGAAUGAUGGGAGCAAACCAGUGAAGAAAAUCAAAGUGACCAUUGACCAGACCACAGAUGUCGUGCUGUAUUCUGCUGACAAAUACACCAAGUCUGUUGUAAGCGAAGAGUUUUCUGAUACACUGGAUGUCGGCGGAUCACUGGAAAAGACUGUCUCUGUCACUCCAUCACUUGCCGCAAACAAGGAAAAAAAGGGCUUGGCUCUGGACGGCAGACUCAAGGAUGAGGACACUAACCUGGCCUCCUCUACAAUUCUGAGGCCAGGAAUGGAGAAGGAGGUUUUGGGAAUCUUGGUUACUUACAAAAUAAAAGUCACCUUUGUGGCCGGCGGUGGAGGUCUGCUGGGAGGUCUGACAGCUACUGAUGUGACAGUAGAGCUUCCCCUCACCCUGAUGAACCCCAAGCCCACAGCGUGAGCUCAUAUUCUUCUCUUGGUCCCCAAGCUCACAUGGUGUAGAGUUCCCAUCAUCAUUCACAAAGAACACAUAUUCCCCAUGUAAUUUCCCCCAGCAUAAAAUGGACCACACUGGACACAGAAGGAUGCAGAAGGACAGGGGGUGUUGCCUAGCCAACACUGAAAUUAAGGUUGACAUGGAAGCAAGGUGUCUACACAGUUGUCGGCAGACAUUUUAUCUGAAACUGUUCAAGAAUAUGAUGUUUCCAUGUUCCUCUCACUUAUUCUGUAUGAUCUCUAAACUUAAAGGGUUCUCUCUAAAGCUAAUUGAAAGAGGAUGUGAUUUGAAUGCAGUCCUUAGAAUAUUUGUGUUUAGUUUUCUAGCUCACCAAAAUCCUCCUUUAUUGUAAGAGAUAUUCAUGUUUCAAAUGAAACAAAACUUCACUAUAUGUCAAUGUUUGUCUUGUUUGAUGUUUUUGAUUGACAUGUCACUGAGCCAAAUAAAACCAUAUAAAAGAC